rnacentral:pre_miRNA from 1 species
AGUGGAAUAGCUGGUUCAAAAGGUAGUUCCAUUCCCAGAUUUCCAAGGAAUCUCCAUACUGCUUUCCAUAUCGGCUGCACCAAUUUGCAGUCCCACCAGCAAU